rnacentral:lncRNA from 1 species
AUGUGGGUAACACCACAGUCUGAUGAAGAACAGAGAAACUCUCAUUUGUUUUCAACUAAUGAGCUAAAGAAGCUGAACUAUCAAUUAUGGUCUCUUCAUCUUCCUGAUAUAUGGGGUGUACAACACAGAGCACUGAAGGGGGCACGGGCCCUUAGAGAGAUGCGGAAAGCGAAAAGCAUCUCCUGAUGAUUGUCCAACACCCGAAGCUGCUUCAGAACACGGAUUUUCCAUCCCAUUUCUGUCUCAGCAACGAGCUAUUUGCGGACUCGCACCCGCAGCGUCCCGGUGGCAGCGG